rnacentral:rRNA from 1 species
GAUAAACGCUGGCGGCGUGCAUAACACAUGCAAGUCGAACGAAGUGGCGAACGGGUGAGUAACACGUGAGUAACCUGCCUUACACAAGGGGAUAGACGUAGGAAACGAAGAAUAAUACCCUAUAGUGUUAGAUGGAAUUGCGUCUGAUUAGCGAGUUGGUGAGAUAAAAGACCACCAAGGCGACGAUCAGUAGCCGGCUUGAGGAAGUGUGCCGCCACAUUGGGUCUGUGCCCCGGCCCAAACUCUACGUGUGGCCGCAGUGGGGAAUUAUGCACAAUGGGUGAAUCCCUGAUGCCGCGCCGCCGCGUGAUUUAGAAGGCCUUCUGGUUGUAAAAAUCUUUUUUAUGCGUUGCAGUACCAUAAGAAUAAGGUCCGGCUAAAUACGUGCCAGCAGCCGCGGUAAUUC